AAAACGCAAAAAGUAGCCCAUGCGAAUGUCGGUGAUCUCAUUUUCAUGAAAAAGUUACUUAAAAAUAAUUACUACAAUUUUAACGUCAAAACCUCUUCAUCUUUAUUUAUCAUGCCCAAUGAGAGUCUAAACAGGAAGAUGUUUUUCUACCUAUUUGAGAAGGAUCAAAAGACUUGCGGCUACCGAGGAAAAUGAGAAAAAGUUACUUUGUGACUGUCGGCUUAUUUUUAUAGAUACAAAGUCGCCUUGGAAAAGCUAUUUAAAAAGGUGAAAAGUGGUUUUACCACUAGAAAAAACACACAGAGGAAAUCAAGGAAAAAAAAACCUAGCAAUUAUUUUUUAUGCAAGAAGUCAAAUUAAAUACCUUCAUUUUUGAAGUUUGACUUUUCAAGAUCUUCUUUACUGCAUUAUCUUUUGAAUAAAAUUGGUCUGGAGUCAAUAUCUUCAUUGGUUCUCGAGAUAUCGAAAAAAACCUGAUAUACGUACGUACAAUUGUACGCACGUAAAUACAUCUAUUUUUAAACCUUCGAAUAUGCUUUUAAGGUUGUUCGAUCAUGAACAAUAGUAUAGUAUAGGGAAAACCUAUGUUAAAAUUUAAUUUAAAGAUAAAUGACAAUAUUUGAUAUUAAAUAAAACUUGACAAUUAGAAUUGAUUUAUUACAAAAUUAUGAAACUUUUGACCGUUUUGUUUACGAGAAAUCUGGAUUUAAUAGUGCCAUUGGGUUUAGUGUUUAACCUAACUUUUAACUGAACUUUAUACAUUUAUUAUUGCCAAACUAAACGGUGAAAUUUAUUGAUAAAGCGAACUUGAAUUCUUUGAAUUAUUAGCUAUCACUUUUGCAAUUUUUAUAGAUUAAUUGUUAUUUUAAAUGAAUUUUCAUGAGGGUUAUGUGAAUUAUUUGUUGAUAAAAAUAGUCAUAAAUGAAUCUAUAAUGUAAGGGGAAUAAUAAGCAUUAAAAAAAAGAAAAUAAUUAUUAAAGUGAUGAUAAUAAGUUUUUAUAUAAAAAAUACUUGAUGAAUAUUCAAAAAUUGAAUUGGCAAAGUAAUUUUAUUCGAAGGUGAUAUCGUUGCGUAAGAACAAAACAUUGUGAAUUAAUAUGGACACUUGAUGUUUGUAAAUUUAAAUAGAAAUAAAUCUAGACAUUUAUUUCUAUUGUUUAGAUUUUUAAAUUUCCUCGAUAGUACAAAGGGCAAUAUUUCCGGCUGGUAGAGACUCGUAAUAAGACUGCUAUUUCAUAACAUCUAAUGUUAAUUUUGAUGAUUUUCUAUUUGGAAAUAUUGAAUGUUUGAUGACCAACUUACACCUGUUGUCCACCAUUAUGAUUACAAGAAGUCUUAAAGUACUGUUAAAUAUCAUCAAUAACCUUCAACUAGGAAGCCUGUAGGCGAGGGUACCAAAAAUUCAAGUUUACAUCUUGUCAUGUGUUGAGGAAUCCCUAAUUGAGGUUAGCGCUCCAAGACAAAGGUUCUUUCUCAAGUGAACUUCCGGUGUGUGCGCGUGCCUAUUUCUUCUUGACAAGACGCCAUGGGAUUCAAGAGGAAAUGACAGCUGUUGAUCAAAGGAUCUUACCGAAAUCUUUCAAUUGAAAAUUGAUAUCUAUUGUUUUAAACGAGAAAUAACCAAUGGUCCGACACGGUACAACGCUUGUACUUGGCGCACGCGCACAACAUCGUGUGAAUGAACAUCCGGUAUGUUCUUGAUGGGUUUUUGUACGACACACGACACAAUAUUCAGGGCCCUAUGUAUUUUUAACAUUUUUUCAAGCCCUUUUUUGUCUAUCAAAGUUUUCAAGUUUCAAAAAAAAAAAUCUCUUCUUCAGCUGUGUUGUGUCUCAGAAUUCAGUAAAAGAAUAACUAAUUAAUGAAUCAGUGAAUUUUGAGUAAUUUUAAUAAAUAAUUCACCUAUUGCUUUGGUGGUAUUUUCUAUCAGUUCUGAAUUGUAAAUGUUCUUAUCAUAAUUACUUGUAAAUUAUGACGUAACCUCAAUAAAUAACAGAAUUUUCAAGAUUAUCUGAAAAUUUAAAUAGUGUUAUCGGUGUUAAAAAUCAUAAGAACAACCGUAUAAGUAGACAAAAAAAACCCAAUGUCAUUAUUAAUAAUAUCUUGAAAACAAUAUGCUAAUCAAAUUGAUUUUGGUCAUUUUCUUAAAGGUUAUCAAGAGUAUUACGCUCACUUAAUCCUAUCUUAUGUUUUAAUUUGAAUAAAAGUGAAAUCAUCAAAUCUCAAAUGUCAAUGUUAAAAACUUGCCAAAGACAUUAGAAAUGUAUCUCACGCUAUUUAUUACACAAAAAAUAGUUAUUUACUCCAAAAAAAAAUUAUUUAAUCAUUUUUCAUUGUUGACCAACUGAAUAAAAAGAGGAACAGUUAUAUUCCAUUUCUAAGACAUUGAUUUAAAUAAUUUCACCUAAAACU